ACGCUCGACACCUACGGGGGGCAGCAGUGGGGAAUAUUGCACAAUGGGGGAAACCCUGAUGCAGCGACGCCGCGUGAGCGAAGAAGUAUUUCGGUAUGUAAAGCUCUAUCAGCAGGGAAGAAACUGACGGUACCUGACUAAGAAGCACCGGCUAAAUACGUGUCAGCAGCCGCGGUAAUCUGAGCGGGCUGGCAAGGC
rnacentral:rRNA from 1 species